rnacentral:rRNA from 1 species
UCGUUUUGUAAUUAUUAAACGUAUUCCCUGCCCUAUGUGAAAAUAAAUGGCCGCAGUAUAAGUGACUGUGUUAAGGUAGCAUAAUUACUUGUCAUUUAAUUAGUGACUUGUCUGAAAGGGUUAACUGGAUUAAAAUUGUUUUUGUUAAGUUUUCUGAAGUUUUAAUUUUAGUAAAAAUACUAAAGUAAAAAAUAAGACGAGAAGACCCCGUCAAGGUUUAUAAUUUUUUAUUUAAUGGGAUAUUGAAAAAGUUGGUCUUUUUUUUUAGAUCUAAUUUUAAUUAUAGGGAAGACUUACUGCGGGGAUAACAGGGUUAUUUUUUCUGGAGUUUUUAUCGAAAAAAAUGUUUGCUACCUCGAUGUUGAAUCAAGAUUUCUUUUUGGUGUAGGGGCUAAAAUAGUGUGUCUGUUCGACAUUUAAAAUCUUACG